GCUGGUGAUUUAACCGGACAUGUACCACCCGAUACCAUUCCGAACUCGGAAGUGAAAGUAUCCGGUGCCGAUGAUAGUUUAUGCGAAAGUAGGCUUCGCCGGCA
rfam:Parcubacteria bacterium GW2011_GWA1_47_11 TX77_C0012, whole genome shotgun sequence.